CCUACGGGGCGCAGCAGUGAGGAAUAUUGGUCAAUGGACGAGAGUCUGAACCAGCCAAGUAGCGUGAAGGAUGACUGCCCUAUGGGUGGUAAACUUCUUUUAUAAGGGAAUAAAAUGAUGCACGUGUGGGAUUUUGUAUGUACCAUAUGAAUAAGGAGCGGCUAACUCCGUGCCAGCAGCCGCGGUAAUACGGAGGAUCCGAGCGUUAUCCGGAGUUAUUGGGUUUAAAGGGAGCGUAGGUGGGUUGUUAAGGCAGUUGUGAAAGUUUGCGGCUCAACCGUAAAAUUGCAGUUGAAACUGGCAGUCUUGAGUACAGUCGAGGUGGGCGGAAUUCGUGGUGUAGCGG
rnacentral:rRNA from 1 species